rnacentral:rRNA from 1 species
UACGGAGGAUUCAAGCGUUAUCCGGAUUUAUUGGGUUUAAAGGGUGCGUAGGUUGUUUUAUAAGUUAGCGGUGAAAUACCGAUGCUCAACAUCGGGGCUGCCGCUGAUACUGUAGGACUAGAGAUCGGAUGCAGCAGGCGGAAUGUGUAGUGUAGCGGUGAAAUGCAUAGAUAUCGGGAGGAACACUCGUGGCGAAGGCGGGUUCCUGGACAUUAACUGACGCUGAGGCACGAAGGCCAGGGGAGCGAAAGGG